rnacentral:rRNA from 1 species
UGGGGAAUAUUGCGCAAUGGGCGGAAGCCUGACGCAGCGACGCCGCGUGGGGGAUGACGGCCUUCGGGUUGUAAACCUCUUUCAGCAGGGACGAAGCGGAAGUGACGGUACCUGCAGAAGAAGCACCGGCCAACUACGUGCCAGCAGCCGCGGUAAUACGUAGGGUGCAAGCGUUGUCCGGAAUUAUUGGGCGUAAAGAGCUCGUAGGCGGUUUGUUGCGUCGGCUGUGAAAUCCCGAGGCUCAACCUCGGGUCUGCAGUCGAUACGAGCAAACUAGAGUGUUGCUGGGGAGACUGGAAUUCCUGGUGUAGCGGUGAAAUGCGCAGAUAUCAGGAGGAACACCGGUGGCGAAGGCGGGUCUCUGGGCAACAACUGACGCUGAGGAGCGAAAGCGUGGGGAGCGAACAGGAUUAGAUACCCUGGUAGUCCACGCCGUAAACGUUGGGCGCUAGGUGUGGGGCUCAUUCCACGAGUUCCGUGCCGCAGCUAACGCAUUAAGCGCCCCGCCUGGGGAGUACGGCCGCAAGGCUAA